UACAGAGGGUGCAAGCGUUAAUCGGAAUUACUGGGCGUAAAGCGUGCGUAGACGGUUAUGUAAGUCAGAUGUGAAAGCCCCGGGCUCAACCUGGGAAUUGCAUUUGAGACUGUGUAGCUAGGGUGCGGAAGAGGGAAGCGGAAUUUCCGGUGUAGCGGUGAAAUGCGUAGAUAUCGGGAGGAACACCUGAGGCGAAGGCGGUUCUCUGGGACGGUACUGACGCUGAGACGCGAAAGCGUGGGGAGCGAACAGG
rnacentral:rRNA from 1 species